UGCGUAGGCGGGUUGAUAAGUCAGUGGUGAAAGGCUACCGCUCAACGGUAGAAUUGCCAUUGAUACUGUCAAUCUUGAAUACAGUCGAGGUGGGCGGAAUGUAACGUGUAGCGGUGAAAUGCUUAGAUAUGUUACAGAACACCAAUUGCGAAGGCAGCUUGCUAGACUGUUAUUGACGCUGAGGCACGAAAGCGUGGGUAGCGAACAGGAUUAGAUACCCGAGUAGUCC
rnacentral:rRNA from 1 species